ensembl:lncRNA CDKN2B-AS1 CDKN2B antisense RNA 1
CAAGAUCUCGGAACGGCUCUGAGCCCUGCGCACGCGGGAAGGGCUGCCGGAGGCGCCCGUAGGGAGGCGCGCGCGCGGGCGGCUCAGGGCCCGCGUUCCUCUCCCUCCCGCCUACCGCCACUUUCCCGCCCUGUGUGCGCCCCCACCCCCACCACCAUCUUCCCACCCUCAGCGCGGGCGCCCCGCGGUGACGGCCCAGGGGCCGGACGCCUGGAACGCAACUCCAGGCAGCUCGCCCCCUAGCUACAUCCGUCACCUGACACGGCCCUACCAGGAACAGCCGCGCUCCCGCGGAUUCUGGUGCUGCUCGCGUCCCCGCUCCCCUAUUCCCCUUAUUUUAUUCCUGGCUCCCCUCGUCGAAAGUCUUCCAUUCUUCAAACUAGAUUAUUUAAAAAUGAAAAAGGAAGAAAGGAAAGCGAGGUCAUCUCAUUGCUCUAUCCGCCAAUCAGGAGGCUGAAUGUCAGUUUUGAACUAAAAGCCGCUCCGCUCCUCUUCUAGAUUUGGAAAACAAGCGAAAUUAAACUAAACCGCUGCACGCCUCUGACGCGACAUCUGGACACGGCGCGGCGCUGGCGCUGCCGGAGCUGUCGACCCGGCCUGGCGCCGGACUAGCGAGGCAGCCGAGCUGCAGACACAGAGAUGCAGAUCUUUGUGAAGACCCUCACGGGCAAGACCAUCACCCUUGAGGUCGAGCCCAGUGACACCAUUGAGAAUGUCAGUGCGAAAAUUCAAGACAAGGAGGGUAUCCCCCCUGACAAGCAGCGUCUGAUAUUUGCCAGCAAACAGCUGGAGGAUGGCCGCACUCUCUCAGACUACAACGUCCAGAAACAGCCCACCCCGCACCUGGUGCUGCACCUGCGAGGUGGCAUUAUUGAGCCUUCACUCUUCCAGCUCACCUAGAAAUACAGCUGAAACAAGAUGAUCUGCCAUAAGCGCUAUGCUCUCCUGCACCCCUAUGCUGUCAAUUGCCGCAAGAAGAAGUGUGGCCACACCAACAACCUGCACCCCAAGAAGGUCAAAUAAGGCUCUUCCUUCCUCGGAGGGCAGCCUCCUGCCCAGGCCCCAUGGCCCUGGAGCCUCAAUAAAGUGUCCCUUUCAUUGACUGGAAAAAAAAAAAGUAUGAAUAGAACUGGUUGACUGGCCAAGAGAAACAGCGACCUAACCUUGCCCUCAUUUAUGCACACUUUUGCAUAUGAUUAGGACUAAGAUAGUGUUUAUAAGUGAGAAGAGAAGGAAAUUCAUAAUCACUUUUGGGGCUUUUUCAAAUUUUUUAUGAACACACCUUCCCACCAAGAGGUUUGAUUUUCUCCAUUUUAUGAGUUGGGUUUAUUGCUCCGUGAUCCACAGUAUAUCCACUUCUAUAUUCCCAUGUAUUUUUCAAGAUUAAUUAAAUGGUGGACUUGUUCAUCAUUUUAGUAUCCGUAUUAGUUUGCUAGGGCUGCCAUAACAGAAUACCACAGACUGAGUAGCUUAAACAACAAAUAUUUAUUUUCUCAGAGUUUUAACUUCUCCUGAGGCUUCUCUUCUUGACUUGCACAUGGCCAUCCUACUGCUGCCUCUUCACAUAGUCAUCCCUCUGUGCACACGUGCCCCUGGAUCUCUUGUGUGUGUCCAAAUUUCCUCCUCUUUUGAGGACACCAGUCAGAUUGGAUUAGGGCCCACCCCAAUGGCCUUAUUUUAACUUAGUCACUUCUUUAAGGGCUCUAUUUCCAAAUACGGUCAAAUUGUGAGGUAUUGGGCUUAGGACUUUAAUAUAAAAAUUUAGAGGUGACAGAAUUUAACCCAUAACAACAGCAUCUUAAUUUUUACACAUUUUACUUUUCAUUUCUUUUUAAACUGUUAUUAAUAAUUUAUUCAUUUGAAUAAGGAUUAAAAUAAGGCUAGGAUAUUGAAAUUGGUUGAAAUUGCUACAGUCUCUUGUAUCUCUCUCUCUCUCUUUUUUUUCUUAUAAGGGACAGGUUUCAUUCACCUUGUCGACCAGGCUGGAGUGCAAUACUGUGAGCAAGGGUCACUGCUGCCUCGAAUUCCUGGGCUUAAGGGAUGCUCCUGCCUCAUCCUCCAGAGUAGAUGGGACUACAGGUGUUGGCCACCAUGACUGGCUAAUAUUUUUACUUUUUUGAAGAGAUGAAGUCUUGCCAUCUGGCCCAGGCUGGUCCCGAACUCCUGGGCUCACACAAUUCUUUCACCUCGGCCCCCCAAAGUGCUGGAUUGCAAGUGUGAACCACUGCACCUGGCGUCUUGUUUCCUCUUAAUCUACAGUUUCCCCCUUUUGCCUUCUUUUUUUUUCUUUCAAUUUAUCUAUUGCAGAAAUUGGCUUUAUCUGUAGUUUUCUAAAGCUUGGAUUUUGCUGAAUGCUUCUUUAUAAUGACACUUAACAUUUUUCUUUGUCAUUUGUAUUUCUCAUAACUUAUUAUUUAGGCCUAGAGUCUGUAUGUGAUUCAGGUUUGAUAUUUGGGCAAAAGUAUUUAAUAAGUGGGAUUACGUACUUUCACCAAGAGACACAUAAUAUGGUUGUCUCUUUCUGUGAUUCUAGCAGCCAUGGAUAAUUAUUUCAUAGAUUAUUAUUUUCUUGGGGAUGGCAAAAUGGUGAUAUUCUAAUUUUACUAUUCCUUCAUUUACUAGCUGGAAUGUCUUUUUAAAUUAUUUAUUUAUUUAUUUAUUAUUUGAGACAGAGUCUUGCACUGUCACCCAGGCUGGAGUGCAGUGGUGUGAUCAUAGCUCACUGCAACCUGCAACUCCCAGGCUCAAGUGAUCCUCCCACCUCAGCUUCCCCAAUAGCUAGGACUACAGGCACACAUCACCUGGCUAAUUUUUAAAUUUUUUGUAGAGAUGAGGGUCUUGCUUUUUUGCCCAGGCUGGUCUCUAACUACUGGGCUCAGCCUCCUAAGCUCCUCCUGCUUCAGCCUCCCAAAGUGUUGGGAUUACAGACAUAAGCCACUGUGCCUGGCCUGGAAUAUUUCUAUAUAGAAAGUUCUCUUCAUUAUCUACUUCAUUGCUUUCAGGUAUAUGUAAGAAAGACAGGAUAAACCACUAGAUUUUGAAAUGUAUUUAUAAAUUUUCAAAAUAAUGAGUUGAGUCCUAGAAUCUUUCUUUUAUUAUUAUUAUUAUUAUACUUUAAGUUUUAGGGUACAUGUGCACAAUGUGCAGGUUAGUUACAUAGGUAUACAUGUGCCAUGCUGGUGUGCUGCACCCAUUAACUUGUCAUUUAGCAUUAGAUAUAUAUCCUAAUGCUAUCCCUCCCCCCUCCCCCCACCCCACAACAGUCCCCAGAGUGUGAUGUUCCCCUUCCUGUGUCCAUGUGUUCUCAUUGUUCAAUUCCCAUCUAUGAGUGAGAACAUGGCGGUGUUUGGUUUUUUGUCCUUGUGAUAGUUUACUGAGAAUAAUGAUUUCCAAUUUCAUCCAUGUCCCUACAAAGGACAUGAACUCAUCAUUUUUAUGACUGCAUAGUAUUCCAUGGUGUAUAUAUGCCACAUUUUCUUAAUCCAGUCUAUCAUUGUUGGACAUUUGGGUUGGUUCCAAGUCUUUGCUAUUGUGAAUAGUGCCGCAAUAAACAUACGUGUGCAUGUGUCUUUA